GUAAGAAAUCUUUGUAGUUUUCCGCGAGUCAACGUGAAAACUGAAGAGAUUUUUUACAG
rfam:Caenorhabditis briggsae complete genome, chrV